GAGGAAGCUUCUUAUUUCCUUUCUUUACCUUUUCAUUUCUCACUACUCCCUGUCAUCAUGUUCAUCGCAUCUGGGGGAUAGCCGGAUUGGGGAAGGAGACUCGGCGAGCUUGCAGGAGGGAGCGAGCUUGCGGGCUAUUCUCCCCGGUGGCUGCGACGGCGAUCCUUGUGUUCCUCGGCGUCUCAUCCAUUCCCCCCAGAUACAUCGCCUAGGGUUCGCAGAGGCAAAUCCCUCCCUCCCCCCCUCCCCCCCCGCAAUUUUUCUCAAUCAAUUGAUUCGAAUCCCUGCGUUUCUCCUCGAAAUCCCUAGUGGUUCGCAGAGGUAAAUCUCCCCCAUCUAGCCUUCUUCUCCGGCUCAACGACGACAACCGGUCGGCCUAUCGGUGUCCCCGGCGGCGGCAUCUCUUCCUCCGAGAAGCACCCUAGCGUUUUGUUGAGGGUGAUGCAACGUCACCACGCUUAUCUGUCUACAUAGGAAACAUCCACGAGGGGAUUCAUGGAAGCGAUUCAGGCACUUAUGACUCUGAAGGAAGGUUCCUAUAGUUGUUUCUCGUUGGCACGAGUUCAGGCAAAGCUUACAUGCUUGGAGGAGAGCUGUUGCUGCAAACCUCUUAUAUCUUUACUAGACUAUUUUCUGAAAUAUACAGUGCAAUAUAGUCUUUGUUGAUUUUUUUUUACCUGUAAUUUUCAGAACAAGUUUAUGGUUAUCAAAGAAAUCAGAUUUAUGUUGGCUAAUCUAUCUGACAAGCAAUGAAGCAAACAAAGUAGAGACACAUCAAUUGGAAAGCAGGGUCUAACCGUUCUGACCAGGUUGUAAGCUCAGUCCUUCAAGUAUAGACUAAAGAAAGCCCUUACAAAACUUCAUCUGCUAUUAUGCCAUUCCUAUGUCCUCGUGAAUGCGAGCUUUUGUGGUCACAAUAUUAUUGGCAUGGCCAGGCUUUUCUGAGGGCGGAUCAACUGCCUUUGGUUGAUACUCGCCAAGUGUUGGCUGGUUGAUUUUAUGCCGGCCUGAAUUUAUAUUAUGCUAAUGUUGCAAAGUGAUAAGCCGGUUCAGUUUUGCUUGGGAGGCGUUUAGUCUAACGAGUGAUCACUGCAUUGUCAGUGCCUGAGCUGUACAUAACGUAAAUGUAUUGCACUGUCCCAGAGUUUGUUAUUGCCGCGAUUGAACAUGUUUUUACACUUUGCAAAAGCAAGUUUUUGUUCUCUAAAUGUAUGAGUUGACUACAGAUUAGACAAAAUCUAUUAGAUUAAGGAGUACAUUGGACAUUUGGACCUCACUGCACGAUGAAUUGGAGUGUUUGUCUUUCGCGUAUGUUGUUCUUGAA